AAGUCUAUGUCUGCCUCUCCUAUUACUCUAAUAUUUUCUCUCUCUCUCAUUUUCCUUCUCUGAUUGUUUUUUUCUUUCUGUUUCAAUCCUCUGCUAUUCUUCCUUCUUUUUCCUUUGUUCUUCUUUUUCUUUCUUCAUUUGUUCCUCUUCUCUUCUUUACUUCCGUUCUUCUUCCUUCGCUUUUCUUCUCCUUUCUCCGCUUGGCUACCUUUAUUUUUCUUCUCUUUUGUUUCUUUCUUCUUUCUCAUUCGACUUUCUUCUUUGCUUCCAUCCGCUUUCUCUCUGCUUCUUGUUUUUUUGUCGAAGA
rnacentral:lncRNA from 1 species